UGUCGCUGCAACACCACGCUAAACUGCUAUCAUUCGCGCUCAUCAAUGAGUCCCGAGUAUGCGUGUAAACUGGUUGUUUGCUCCUAAUGCUCAAUUUGUUAAACAACGCUUCAUAACGGGCAGUGUAAUGCCAGAAACUUGCUAGUUCACAACUACGCACGCCAUCCAUGCUGAUUUAUUUGAACAGGCACAUGAUUGAUCUAGCUACCAGCUGCGGUAAUUUAUAUUUCACUCAUAGUUGUAAAGGUAAUUGUGGAGAGCGUUGAUCAUGGCAGUUGCGAAAAAAAAAAAAAAUCGGUGCAAUCGCGCGCGUCGCUAUUAUAUUUUUUAGACGGAAUCGUCGGGGGUAAUCGCAUGGCCUUCUUUGGCCUCGCGUGACCAUGGCCUAGCCUGCAGUGAACGAGCCUAGCUUGAUCGAUAUCGUGGGGCUACCGUUUCAUACGUACACGUGCUCUUGUCGGAUCAGAUUAAAUGAGUAAGCGUAAUAUAUUGUUUAUUUUCCCCCCUUAAUUUACUUGAUAGGUUAUCAGGCGGCGAUGCGAGAACCAGCGCGCUGGCAUGGACUACGUGAAAAACUUGUCGGCGUGGUUUUCCCCACUGAAUCGAAUCGCAUAGAGACAAAUUGCUUCCGAAUCGAGGAUGCUUUACCUCACUGGAACACUCGAGGCCGCACUUCAUUUCCGAGACGGAAAAGCGAACUCCUCAACGAAAGGCGGUUGGCCACCUUGUGCUAGUUGAAGAAGCGAGAUGGGGGUGGAUACCUCUUGCCAUCCGCUUGCAAAAAUCGGUGCAGUGAGUGCGAGAAGGCGCCUGAGAAAAAGUAACAUAUUAUGCCAAGAAAAAUGCGAAGCCGGUUCCUUGACCUGGUCACUGUGGGUGAUCUCUGCCAGAGCACUUUGGACAGCAUUGCUCAGAGUGUCUACACCAGGAAGGCUCUGAAGAAUGGACAUGAUGAAGGCUGGGUCCUGGAAUAUGUCGUCGUAUUCAUCAUCACCAACUGCAUCCUGCACAGCAGUCAUUGAGGAUUCACAUGUUGAAUGACACAGCUUGAGGCAGGGUAGGCUAGUGACCUUAGUCUUGACUCAACCUGGCUCACCUGUUCUGGAACCUGCUUGGCCUCGUCUGUAUCCAUGGCAUCUUCAUCAACUUCAGCAAGCAGUAUGUCUGGCAGAAUUGGCGGGACAAGCUGAGGCACUAAAGGAAUGUGAAACCAAUCAUGGUACCUCCUCUGUAGGGGAGAAGCAUGUAAGCAUGCAGAAGACUGCACAAAAUGUGGAAACCAACACACAUUGUUAUUGUGAUGGGCAAGCCAUUCUUGAACAUUUUGUGGUGUCAGAAGCUGCCAGAGUAGCAUCCCUUGGUGAAUUGGCCAUCUCCUGCCUGACUUCGUAAUCCUGCCAUUGACGUUGCUCCUCCA